rnacentral:rRNA from 1 species
CCUACGGGAGACUGCAGUGAGGAAUAUUGGUCAAUGGGCGGAAGCCUGAACCAGCCAAGUCGCGUGAGGGACUAAGGCCCUACGGGUCGUAAACCUCUUUUGCCGGGGAUCAGUGCCAAGCUCGCGAGCUGGGAGGGAGCGUACCCGGAGAAAAAGCAUCGGCUAACUCCGUGCCAGCAGCCGCGGUAAUACGGGGGAUGCGAGGGUUAUCCGGAUUUAUUGGGUUAAAGGGGUGCGUGGGGGGGCCUUAAGGCCGGUGGUAAAAUUGCGGGGCCAAACCCCGCCGAGCCGUCGGAACCGGGGGCCUUGAGUACCGGAGAGGUACGCGGAAUGCGUGGUGUAGCGGUGAAAUGCAUAGAUAUCACGCAGAACCCCGAUUGCGAAGGCAGCGUACCGGCCGGUCACUGACGCUGAGGCACGAAAGCGCGGGUAUCGAACAGGAUUAGAUACCCGUGUAGUC